rnacentral:antisense_RNA from 1 species
ACCUCAAUUCAUCAGGAGAGACCUAGUGUGGGUGUAGGGGUGCCUGAGGAGAAAGGGGUGCUGGUUCUUCCUUAUAUCCCCUGCCUGCCUCAGCUGGGCUCUGACCCAGCCAGCAGACUGGAGUCCUCUUCUGCAUGGUAAGGAAACUGAGGCUUAGAGGAGUUAUGAAACUGCCCAAGGUUUCACAGCUGAAAUGUAUAAGGACCUGGACUUGCAAAUUUGGCACAAAGUUCUUCUAAUAAGAGGCCAUAAAAUAACCAAAUGAUUUUUUAUGUGCCUGUAGAACCAAAAGAACUAUUUCAGAAUGUCAGCUGAAAAGCACGAUAUUCCAGAUAGCUUAGAAACCUUGGCAUAGUGCCUUCCUGGAAAUCCCGGAUUGCAUCUAAAACCAUGUGGCAGAGGGAGAAACAACAGACAGGCCAUCCUGAGAAGACUCAGGCUGGGACGAAAGCUCUGCUCUCCAGGGACAAAGCAGCAGGGGACCAGCCAUGCUCAGAAAUACUCCACUGGCCAGUGCACAUUUUUUUGAGCAAUUUCACUUGCUUCCACACCACCUGCCCCCCUAACGCUUCU